rnacentral:tRNA from 1 species
GUCGGUUUAGCCUGCAAGUCGCGUUAUUAGCUUCCCAAGCUGAGAGCGCGGGUUCGAUUCCCGUCACCGGCUCCA